ensembl:lncRNA
GUGGGGUGUAGGUGGGGUUGUAUGGUGGUGUGUAGAUGUGGUAUGGUGGGGUGUAGGUGGGGUUGUAUGGUGGUGUGUAGGUGGGGUGGUAUGGUGGUGUGUAGAUGGGGUGGUAUGGUGGUGUGUAGAUGGGGUGGUAUGGUGGUGUGGAGAUGGGGUAAGGUGGGGUGUAGGUGGGGUUGUAUGGUGGUGUGUAGAUGUGGUAUGGUGGGGUGGUAUGGUGGUGUGUAGGUGGGGUUGUAUGGUAGUGUGUAGAUGUGGUAAGGUGGGGUUGUAUGGUGUUGUGUAGAUGUGGUAAGGUGGGGUGGUAUGGUGGGGUUGUAUGGUGGUGUGUAGAUGGGGUAAGGUGGGGUGGUAUGGUGGUGUGUAGAUGGGGUAAGUUGGGGUUGUAUGGUGGUGUGUAGGUGGGGUAAGGUGGGGUGGUAUGGUGGUGUGUAGGUGGGGUUGUAUGGUGGUGUGUAGAUGGGGUAAGGUGGGGUUGUAUGGUGGGGUGGUAUGGUGGGGUUGUAUGGUGGUGUGUAGAUUGGGUAAGGUGGGGUUGUAUGGUGGUGUGUAGAUUGGGUAAGGUGGGGUCGUAUGGUGGUGUGUAGAUGUGGUAAGGUGGGGUGGUAUGGUGGGGUUGUAUGAUGGUGUGUAGACGGGGUU